UACGUAGGGUGCAAGCGUUAAUCGGAAUCACUGGGCUUACAGAGUUCGUAGGCGGUCCGGUAAGUUAGAUGUGAAAAUCCCUUGGCUUAACCAAGGAACUGCGUUUGAAACUACCGGACUCGAGGGAGAUGAGAGGAAAGCGGAACUGAUGGUGGAGCGGUGAAAUGCGUUGAUAUCAUCAGGAACACCGGUGGCGAAGGCGGCUUUCUGGGUCUCUUCUGACGCUGAAGG
rnacentral:rRNA from 1 species